UGACCGCAUGGUUCAAUAGUGAAAGACGUUUGCUGUCACUUAUAGAUGGAUCCGCGCCGCAUUAGCUAGUUGGUAAGGUAACGGCUUACCAAGGCAACGAUGCGUAGCCGACCUGAGAGGGUGAUCGGCCACACUGGAACUGAGACACGGUCCAGACUCCUACGGGAGGCAGCAGUAGGGAAUCUUCCGCAAUGGGCGAAAGCCUGACGGAGCAACGCCGCGUGAGUGAUGAAGGUCUUCGGAUCGUAAAACUCUGUUAUUAGGGAAGAACAAAUGUGUAAGUAACUAUGCACGUCUUGACGGUACCUAAUCAGAAAGCCACGGCUAACUACGUGCCAGCAGCCGCGGUAAUACGUAGGUGGCAAGCGUUAUCCGGAAUUAUUGGGCGUAAAGCGCGCGUAGGCGGUUUUUAAGUCUGAUGUGAAAGCCACGGCUCACCGUGAGGUCAUGGAACUGAACUGAGUCAGAGAGGA
rnacentral:rRNA from 1 species